UACGGAGGGGGCAAGCGUUGUUCGGAUUUACUGGGCGUAAAGGGUCCGUAGGUGGUUGUGUAAGUCUGGUGUGAAAUCUUCGCCGCUUAACGGGAAGAAGCCACUGGAAACUGCGCAACUUGAGUAUGGUAGAGGCAAGCGGAAUUCCUGGUGUAGCGGUGGAAUGUGUAGAUAUCAGGAGGAAUACCGAUGGCGAAGGCAGGUCUCUGGGCUAUAACUGACGCUCAUGCACGAAAGCGUGGGGAGCAAACAGG
rnacentral:rRNA from 1 species